AAUAGAUACCCAGGUAGUCCACGCCGUAAACGAUGUCGACUUGGAGGUUGUUCCCUUGAGGAGUGGCUUCCGGAGCUAACGCGUUAAGUCGACCGCCUGGGGAGUACGGCCGCAAGGUUAAAACUCAAAUGAAUUGACGGGGGCCCGCACAAGCGGUGGAGCAUGUGGUUUAAUUCGAUGCAACGCGAAGAACCUUACCUACUCUUGACAUCCAGAGAACUUAGCAGAGAUGCUUUGGUGCCUUCGGGAACUCUGAGACAGGUGCUGCAUGGCUGUCGUCAGCUCGUGUUGUGAAAUGUUGGGUUAAGUCCCGCAACGAGCGCAACCCUUAUCCCUUGUUGCCAGCGGUUCGGCCGGGAACUCAAAGGAGACUGCCAGUGAUAAACUGGAGGAAGGUGGGGAUGACGUCAAGUCAUCAUGGCCCUUACGAGUAGGGCUACACACGUGCUACAAUGGCGUAUACAAAGAGAAGCGACCUCGCGAGAGCAAGCGGACCUCAUAAAGUACGUCGUAGUCCGGAUUGGAGUCUGC
rnacentral:rRNA from 1 species